UACGUAGGGGGCAAGCGUUGUCCGGAUUUAUUGGGCGUAAAGAGCGUGUAGGCGGCUUUACAGGUCCGUUGUGAAAACUCGAGGCUCAACCUCGAGACGCCGGUGGAAACCGUAAAGCUAGAGUCCGGAAGAGGAGAGUGGAAUUCCUGGUGUAGCGGUGAAAUGCGCAGAUAUCAGGAAGAACACCCGUGGCGAAGGCGGGUCUCUGGGCCGAUACUGACGCUGAGGAGCGAAAGCGUGGGGAGCAAACAGG
rnacentral:rRNA from 1 species